AACGAACGCUGGCGGCGUGCUUAACACAUGUAAGUCGAACGAGAAAAUCCUUGGCUUUGCCAGGAUGAGUAAAGUGGCGCACGGGUGAGUAACACGUGAGUAAUCUGCCCCUAAGUUAGGAAUAACAUUGCGAAAGCGAUGCUAAUACCUGGUAAGCCCACGACUUCUUCGGUAGAUGUGGGAAAAGGUGGCCUCUGACAUAAGCUAUCACUUAGGGAUGAGCUCGCGGACCAUUAGCUUGUUGGUAGGGUAAUGGCCUACCAAGGCGAUGAUGGUUAGCUGGCCUGAGAGGGUGGCCAGCCACACUGGAACUGAGACACGGUCCAGACUCCUACGGAGGCAGCAGUGGGGAAUCUUGCGCAAUGGGGGAAACCCUGACGCAGCAACGCCGCGUGAGUGACGAAGGCCUUCGGGUCGUAAAGCUCUGUCAGAUGGAAAGAAUUAGUUCGCUGAAAAUAUUGGCGAGUGAUGACGGUACCAUCAGAGGAAGCACCGGCUAACUCCGUGCCAGCAGCCGCGGUAA
rnacentral:rRNA from 1 species